rnacentral:rRNA from 1 species
CUAAUACCGCAUAAUGUCGCAAGACCAAAGUGGGGGACCUUCGGGCCUCAUGCCAUCAGAUGUGCCCAGGUGGGAUUAGCUAGUAGGUGGGGUAACGGCUCACCUAGGCGACGAUCCCUAGCUGGUCUGAGAGGAUGACCAGCCACACUGGAACUGAGACACGGUCCAGACUCCUACGGGAGGCAGCAGUGGGGAAUAUUGCACAAUGGGCGCAAGCCUGAUGCAGCCAUGCCGCGUGUGUGAAGAAGGCCUUCGGGUUGUAAAGCACUUUCAGCGGGGAGGAAGGCGGUGAGGUUAAUAACCUCAUCGAUUGACGUUACCCGCAGAAGAAGCACCGGCUAACUCCGUGCCAGCAGCCGCGGUAAUACGGAGGGUGCAAGCGUUAAUCGGAAUUACUGGGCGUAAAGCGCACGCAGGCGGUCUGUCAAGUCGGAUGUGAAAUCCCCGGGCUCAACCUGGGAACUGCAUUCGAAACUGGCAGGCUAGAGUCUUGUAGAGGGGGGUAGAAUUCCAGGUGUAGCGGUGAAAUGCGUAGAGAUCUGGAGGAAUACCGGUGGCGAAGGCGGCCCCCUGGACAAAGACUGACGCUCAGGUGCGAAAGCGUGGGGAGCAAACAGGAUUAGAUACCCUGGUAGUCCACGCCGUAAACGAUGUCGAUUUGGAGGUUGUGCCCUUGAGGCGUGGCUUCCGGAGCUAACGCGUUAAAUCGACCGCCUGGGGAGUACGGCCGCAAGGUUAAAACUCAAAUGAAUUGACGGGGGCCCGCACAAGCGGUGGAGCAUGUGGUUUAAUUCGAUGCAACGCGAAGAACCUUACCUGGUCUUGACAUCCACAGAACUUUCCAGAGAUGGAUUGGUGCCUUCGGGAACUGUGAGACAGGUGCUGCAUGGCUGUCGUCAGCUCGUGUUGUGAAAUGUUGGGUUAAGUCCCGCAACGAGCGCAACCCUUAUCCUUUGUUGCCAGCGGUUCGGCCGGGAACUCAAAGGAGACUGCCAGUGAUAAACUGGAGGAAGGUGGGGAUGACGUCAAGUCAUCAUGGCCCUUACGACCAGGGCUACACACGUGCUACAAUGGCAUAUACAAAGAGAAGCGACCUCGCGAGAGCAAGCGGACCUCAUAAAGUAUGUCGUAGUCCGGAUUGGAGUCUGCAACUCGACUCCAUGAAGUCGGAAUCGCUAGUAAUCGUAGAUCAGAAUGCUACGGUGAAUACGUUCCCGGGCCUUGUACACACCGCCCGUCACACCAUGGGAGUGGGUUGCAAAAGAAGUAGGUAGCUUAACCUUCGGGAGGGCGCUUACCACUUUGUGAUUCAUGACUGGGGUGAAGUCGUAACAAGGUAACCGUAGGGGAACCUGCGGUUGGAUCACCUCCUUACCUUAAAGAA